UCCAGACUCCUACGGGAGGCAGCAGUGAGGAAUAUUGGUCAAUGGCCGAAGGGCUGAACCAGCCAAGCCGCGUGAAGGAAUAAGGCCCUACGGGUCGUAAACUUCUUUAGUCAGGGAACAAAGGGUGCCACGUGUGGCGCUGUGAGUGUACCUGAAGAAUAAGCAUCGGCUAACUCCGUGCCAGCAGCCGCGGUAAUACGGAGGAUGCGAGCGUUAUCCGGAUUUAUUGGGUUUAAAGGGUGCGUAGGCGGGAUGCCAAGUCAGCGGUAAAAAUGCGGUGCUCAACGCCGUCGAGCCGUUGAAACUGGCGUUCUUGAGUGGGCGAGAAGUAUGCGGAAUGCGUGGUGUAGCGGUGAAAUGCAUAGAUAUCACGCAGAACUCCGAUUGCGAAGGCAGCAUACCGGCGCCCUACUGACGCUGAGGCACGAAAGCGUGGGUAUCGAACAGGAUUAGAUACCCGGGUAUG
rnacentral:rRNA from 1 species